GAUGAACGCUGGCGGCGUGCCUAAUACAUGCAAGUCGAGCGAACAGAUUAGGAGCUUGCUCCUCUGACGUUAGCGGCGGACGGGUGAGUAACACGUGGAUAACCUACCUAUAAGACUGGGAUAACUUCGGGAAACCGGAGCUCAUACCGGAUAAUAUAUUGAACCGCAUGGUUCAAUAGUGAAAGACGGUUUUGCUGUCACUUAUAGAUGGAUCCGCGCCGCAUUAGCUAGUUGGUAAGGUAACGGCUUACCAAGGCAACGAUGCGUAGCCGACCUGAGAGGGUGAUCGGCCACACUGGAACUGAGACACGGUCCAGACUCCUACGGGAGGCAGCAGUAGGGAAUCUUCCGCAAUGGGCGAAAGCCUGACGGAGCAACGCCGCGUGAGUGAUGAAGGUCUUCGGAUCGUAAAACUCUGUUAUUAGGGAAGAACAAAUGUGUAAGUAACUAUGCACGUCUUGACGGUACCUAAUCAGAAAGCCACGGCUAACUACGUG
rnacentral:rRNA from 1 species